rnacentral:lncRNA from 1 species
UAUAGAGGGAUGGAGGAUGGCAAGCCGGCAACGGUACGCGAACUAACGACGUUCUUUCGCUUCUCGAGAGGAGGAGGGUGCGCGGAAAGAGCGGUGGGGGUGGACGAGUGGAAAAAAUGGAAAGAGAGGAAGGCAGAAGCAGCCGGUCGCGCGCCGCUCGCGAGAGAGGAGACACCGACGAAGGGACUGCGGCAGAUUCGAAGGGAAACAUAUGCCGAGAAUCCAAAAGAGAGGUAGACGUCGCGACGCCUUGGAUCGAUCGGAGUGUGCGCUCAACUCCAGACCAACAUGGACCGGAUUUACGGGGCUGAAUUGAGUGGAAAAACGAGAACACGAAAGGAACAAAGCUGUCUGGAGUGGCGUAGGCAGGUUGGCUGAAAAGCGCAAGAUGAGCUACCGCGAUGUCUCAAGAAUCCAAUGGCGUUACUCCGACGGACAAAAAGCAGGAUGUUCUUUUUUGAAAAAAACCAUACUAUUAUGAGAUCUCUAAUAUUCAAAUUCAUAAAUGGUUAUUGAAUUAUAAAUUAUCUAUUUACGAAUACGUACACGUACUUAAUAUUACAAAAAACAAUUGUCUUAAUUAUCUUCACUAUAAUACAAAAC